UAAAUCCUAUAUUUUUAAAGACUCCGGAUGAAAAAAAAUGGGAAAUACAUACCACUAAAGUUAAUGAAGAUUUCUGGUUUCAAAAGGGUUGGAAGGAAUUUGCAACGUACUAUUCAUUGGAUCAUGGAAACGUGAUUUUUUUUCACUUUGAGGAAAAAUCUAAUUUUGUGGUGCAUAUAUUUGACAAGAGUACUCUUGAAAUUGAAUAUCCAUUUCAUGACAAUCAACAUGAACAAAACAACAUUGUUCAAAUCAGUGAUGACGAUUCGGUUGAAGUUUUGAAGACAUCAGAGUCAUGCAAAAAGAAAACUAGACCAAAAUCACUAAUUCCAUGUCAUCAACCACAUAAGAAAUCGAGAAGUAACAUAAAUGAAGAUGAUGCGUGUGAAGCUGAUGGAAUAGGCUCCAACUUUGCUAACUUUUCAAAGCAUCAUGUCCAAGCUAACGAGAACAUAGAUGGUAACACUAAAUUUCAAAAAGAAGAGCGGAAGCACAAGACUCCUAAAACUAAUGGAGCAUUAAAGAGAAGUAGAAAAUUCAAAUCCAAAAAGCCUU